rnacentral:rRNA from 1 species
GACGAACGCUGGCGGCGUGCCUAAUACAUGCAAGUCGAACGCUUCGUUCCUCCCGAGUGCUUGCACUCAAUUGGAAAGAGGAGUGGCGGACGGGGGAGUAACACGUGGGUAACCUACCCAUCAGAGGGGGAUAACACGUGGAAACAGGUGCUAAUACCGCAUAACAGUUUAUGCCGCAUGGCAUAAGAGUGAAAGGCGCUUUCGGGUGUCGCUGAUGGAUGGACCCGCGGUGCAUUAGCUAGUUGGUGAGGUAACGGCUCACCAAGGCCACGAUGCAUAGCCGACCUGAGAGGGUGAUCGCCCACACUGGGACUGGGACACGCCCCAGACUCCUACGGGAGGCAGCAGUAGGGAAUCUUCGGCAAUGGACGAAAGUCUGACCGAGCAACGCCGCGUGAGUGAAGAAGGUUUUCGGAUCGUAAAACUCUGUUGUUAGUGAAGAACAAGGACGUUAGUAACUGAACGUCCCCUGACGGUAUCUAACCAGAAAGCCACGGCUAACUACGUG